AUACCUAUCUAUAUGGAGAGAAGCAUCCAUGUCGACUGUGGGACUACUUUGUGCAUGAUACUGAACAGCUGCAGGGACAAUUUGUGCAGAAGACUGUAAUGUUUCUUCUUGGUCACUGUAAUUGAGUCCUUUGUCUGGAUGCUAGAGCUGUGUUGCCUGGUACCUCCCCUGGCCCAAGUUUAACGUGCAAAG